ensembl:lncRNA
AUGCUGAUUGAAAAUGUCAGUGAGAGAUUUCCAAACAAGGGCAGUCUCAAUCAUUUCUGUGUCAUGACACCAAGGUCUAUCCUCACUAGCCCUGAACCAAAUUAUGGUGAUGAGGAUAUUAUGAAAGCUCUUGCAAAAGAGAUUCCCAGGUUGUCUGAGGAGCCACUGCAAGCCGAGUGGGACACCUUCAAACAGAGAGUUAGGAGUCCAGAUUUAAAGAUGAAAUCACUAGAGGAGACAUUUCUAUGGCUUGUUUCUGAGGAUGUCAGGGACAUUUACCCAUCCCUGAGUUUAGCUGCAGCUAUAGCCCUAACAGCACCUGUCCAGACUGUGGAUGUAGAGAGGCUAUUCUCAUCCCUGAAUUUGGUGAAAACAGCUUUGAGGAACAGACUGAAGGACCAACAUUUAGACGUAUGCUGCAAGGUGGCUGUGGAUGGGCCCCAUCAGGAUGAAAUCGACUACAGAGAUCUUGUAAAAAGGUUCUACAGUGUUAAUAAAAAGAGACGAGUUAAAUGUUCAUCUGCAGGCUGUGAUAUUUGUAAAUCGAUAAAUUGUGAUACCUUUGACAUUUCAAAUCUACUUUGGUAUCGAUGAUGUUUACAUGUAAAAUAAGUUGUAAUCGCUUUCUUUUACUAUCUAGCCUGACAGUGAUCGUUUUUUAUGAAUAAAUAGGAUAAGAAAAAAAAAUCA